UACGAACUGUGCAAACGUUAUUCGGAAUCACUGGGCUUAAAGCGUGUGUAGGCGGAUCGUUAAGUACCUUGUGAAAUCCCCACGGCUCAACCGUGGAACUGCUUGGUAUACUGGCGGUCUUGAGCCAGCUAGGGGCUACCGGAACAAAUGGUGGAGCGGUGAAAUGCGUAGAUAUCAUUGGAACGCCAAUGGUGAAAACAGGUAGCUGGGGCUGUGCUGACGCUGAGACACGAAGCCAGGGGAGCGAACGGG
rnacentral:rRNA from 1 species